rnacentral:rRNA from 1 species
CCUCGGGCGGCUGCAGUGGGGAAUAUUGCACAAUGGGCGCAAGCCUGAUGCAGCAACGCCGCGUGAGCGAUGAAGGCCUUCGGGUCGUAAAGCUCUGUCCUCAAGGAAGAUAAUGACGGUACUUGAGGAGGAAGCCCCGGCUAACUACGUGCCAGCAGCCGCGGUAAUACGUAGGGGGCUAGCGUUAUCCGGAAUUACUGGGCGUAAAGGGUGCGUAGGUGGUUUUUUAAGUCAGAAGUGAAAGGCUACGGCUCAACCGUAGUAAGCUUUUGAAACUAGAGAACUUGAGUGCAGGAGAGGAGAGUAGAAUUCCUAGUGUAGCGGUGAAAUGCGUAGAUAUUAGGAGGAAUACCAGUAGCGAAGGCGGCUCUCUGGACUGUAACUGACACUGAGGCACGAAAGCGUGGGGAGCAAACAGGAUUAGAUACCCGGGUAGUC